UGGCGGCGUGCCUAACACAUGCAAGUCGAGCGAGCGAUUCGGAGUGAAGUUUUCGGAUGGAUUUUGGAUUGACUGAGCGGCGGACGGGUGAGUAACGCGUGGGUAACCUGCCUCAUACAGGGGGAUAACAGUUAGAAAUGACUGCUAAUACCGCAUAAGACCACAGCACCGCAUGGUGCAGGGGUAAAAACUCCGGUGGUAUGAGAUGGACCCGCGUCUGAUUAGCUAGUUGGUAAGGUAACGGCUUACCAAGGCAACGAUCAGUAGCCGACCUGAGAGGGUGACCGGCCACAUUGGGACUGAGACACGGCCCAAACUCCUACGGGAGGCAGCAGUGGGGAAUAUUGCACAAUGGGGGAAACCCUGAUGCAGCGACGCCGCGUGAGUGAAGAAGUAUUUCGGUAUGUAAAGCUCUAUCAGCAGGGAAGAAAAUGACGGUACCUGACUAAGAAGCCCCGGCUAACUACGUGCC
rnacentral:rRNA from 1 species